GUCUUGUCUGAAGAUAAUGACUUAUCUCAAUUGAUUAUUCACAGUUACAGAUGAAACUCGUUUUACUUUCCCCACUUCUCACUAUUGCACUUGACUAGUCUUAA
ensembl:misc_RNA Y_RNA Y RNA